GGUCUAAUAGUGUAGUGGUUAGCACAUGGGAUUUUGAUUGACACAUUAUAUCGUAUAUCACAAAUUAUCUUCCCAUAACCCAGGUUCGAAUCCUGGUUAGACCU